GGACCUGUCUGUCCUUAGUUACCAUGUACCUAUAGUCCCUCAUCCAUCUAAUAUCCCAGAGACCGUAUAUCGAGCAUGGUGUUGUCAGACCCAUACGGUUUCUACUCGAGUCUCGCUCUAAUCGGAUUCUCCCGGAGAACUCUUUCUCUCUCAACCCGAAUGACCCUGGCUAGGGAUUUGUCUGAGCAAGAACACAUAGGAUAUUCCUCUCAUGACGCCGAGAGUGGAUGAUCCUCUAUUGACACUCAAUAGCCCUCGUAAGGUCGACUACCACUCCCAAUGACCAGUUGUACUAGAU
rnacentral:lncRNA from 1 species